rnacentral:tRNA from 1 species
GAGGGCAUAGCUCAACUGGUAGAGCGCAUGCUUAGCAUGCUUGAGGUCCUGCGUUCAAUUUCUAGUACCUCCA